AUGCAGCUAAGCAGUCUGAAUUUUGAGGACAUGACUAUGUAUUACUGUGCAAGAGACACAAGCUGGAGAGUCCUCUUCCUGGUAGCAGUGACUGCAGGUGUGCACUCCCAGGAACAACUGACCCAGUCUGCGGCUGAGGUGAGGAAGCCUGGCACAUUUGUCAAGGUCUCUUGCAAGGCUUCUGGAUAUGAUUUCACCAACUACUACAUGCACUUGGUGCAGCAGGCCUCUGGAAAAUGCCUGGAGUGGAUUGACCCUGAAGAUAGUAAUGCAGAUUAUGCACAGAAGUUCCAGGGCAAAGCCACCAUGACUGCAGAAACAUCCUCCAACACAGCCUACAUGCAGCUGAGCAGUCUGAGUUUUGAGGACACAGCUGUGUAUAACUGUGCUAACGGACCACAAAAA